CCUUAACAAAUACCCUCUUCUGCAUCUGACUCAAAGGCUGAAGAGGGUAUCAUCCUUACAAGCUUGGCACUGCCUGCGAACUGCAGAUUCCUGUGCUUGGGCUCUGUCGCUCUGUACAGCAUCAGACAGCUGACCUCGGACUACCUUCAUCAGCUGUUCAAAUGGACUUUGUUCAAGCUGUCCUCAGGGAGUGCUCAGACGAUCCUUUCUGCAGGCAAAACUUGCUGCACGCUCACUUCCAGCACCAGCGUGUUCACAAACAACUGAGGAUCACGGAACUUGACUACAGCAUCCUCAGGAACAGCUCCGUAUGUUGUUGCCUCAAGCGAAAAGAUUAUGAAGACGUGGACAAAAAAACACUGGAGACUCUGAGCACCCGCUGAUGAAAUGGGAGAGGGAAAUGCAAAGGAAAUGAUCCGGGCGGCGUUGAUGAGUGAAGGAAGAAAUUAAAUAAAGACAGUCCGAGGUUUCAGUUUAUGAUGCCUCCAUCUGAGGAACUUAUCUACAGGAUCAGGGGAGCUGGUAUGGGAAGGACUCAGCACCUGGGCACUCCGGGUAGAGCAUCCAAACAGACCUGGAAGCAGCAGCCGGGGCCAGACCUUCCUUUUCCCUCUUCUUCUGCUUCAUCCGCCUGUUCUGGAACCAGAUCUUCACCUGGGUUUCGUUGAGCUCCAGGGUAGCAGCGAUCUCCACCCUUCGGGCCCGGAGUCCAGCUGAUGAGUAGGUGGAAAGACACUGACUUCAGCCGGCCACUCCGCUGCUCAUAGAAUGGAAACAUAGGUAGGCAACAUUUAUUUACUUGUUAGCAGAGGGGAGACAAGAGCACCCAACAAUAUGACGCCCACAGUCAUUUGUUACUUGUCAGAAUAUUUACUGGUUACUCAGCCUUUAAGAAGAACCAGGAAGGUUUCUUUUUUCAGGCCAAAAGUUCACUUUGAAAGGCAUAAACACGUUCUCUAGUUCAGGGUUUGGCUGAUGCAACACGUUGGGGUAACAUUUGUUAAGAAGCUGCAAACCAGGCAGCCAUGGCAUCAACCCUCCUCCCGCCUUUAAAUCCCCGAGAGAAAAAGUGAGUUUUAGCCAGCUACAUUUCUCGUCCUUCAAUAAAAAGAAUAAGGAGAAAACUAUUGCCAGUGCUGCAUGGCUGUUUAUUCAUUUAUUCUGUGGACUCUGCUGAUGCUGAGAUAUUCAAGAAGCAAAUAUUUUAGGUUACAAAUGCUCUCUGAAACUCACUACAACCUUUUUUUGCAUAAAACAACGAAAGUGAUUAUAAAGAUGCAAGGCAACUAUCAUGUCAUUCUCCUUGUAGGAGAAAUCGGUUUCUAAUUUGAUUCCAGGAGUGCUUUUUAUAUUACAUUGCGUUCAUGUUUAAAUUGAAUGUAUUGUAUUUAAACGAUGCUUACAAUAGAUGAUUUAUGGAUUUAA